rnacentral:rRNA from 1 species
UACAGGGGGCGCGAGCGUUGCUCGGAAUCACUGGGCGUAAAGCGUACGCAGGCGGGUCGAUAAGUCCGUUGUGAAAUCCCGGGGCUCAACCCCGGAACUGCAGUGGAGACUGUCGAUCUUGAGUACGGGAGAGGAGAGCGGAAUUCCUGGUGUAGAGGUGAAAUUCGUAGAUAUCAGGAGGAACACCGGUGGCGAAAGCGGCUCUCUGGCCCGAUACUGACGCUCAUGUACGAAAGCGUGGGGAGCAAACAGG